GAUGAACGCUAGCGGGAGGCUUAACACAUGCAAGUCGAGGGGUAUUGUAGCAAUACAUUAGACCGGCGCACGGGUGAGUAACGCGUAUGCAACCUGCCGUUAACCGGGGGAUAGCCCGUCGAAAGGCGGAUUAAUACCCCAUAAUAUUGGGAUUCUGCAUGGGAUUUCAAUUAAAGCUGAGGUGGUUAACGAUGGGCAUGCGUGACAUUAGCUAGUUGGUGGGGUAAAGGCCUACCAAGGCGACGAUCUGUAGCGGGUCUGAGAGGAUGAUCCGCCACACUGGGACUGAGACACGGCCCAGACUCCUACAGGAGGCAGCAGUGGGGAAUAUUGGACAAUGGGCGGAAGCCUGAUCCAGCCAUGCCGCGUGUGUGAAGAAGGCCUUAUGGUUGUAAAGCACUUUAAGCGAGGAGGAGGCUACUUUAGUUAAUACCUAGAGAUAGUGGACGUUACUCGCAGAAUAAGCACCGGCUAACUCUGUGCCAGCAGCCGCGGUAAGAC
rnacentral:rRNA from 1 species